rfam:Glycine soja cultivar W05 scaffold183_41, whole genome shotgun sequence.
UUCUUAUUGGAUGAUGACUGUCACGUGUCAUGUUCUGAUUGGAUGUCAACUCCAUAAAAGAAAUGAAUUGUUGUUUUCAUUGACUAAUUAGAACAUGACACGUAGCAGUCAUCAUCU